AGUCGAACGAACACUUUUACAGAUUUCUUCGGAAUGAAGUUUUAGUGACUGAGUGGCGGACGGGUGAGUAACGCGUGGGUAACCUGCCUCACACAGGGGGAUAGCAGUUGGAAACGACUGGUAAUACCGCAUAAGCGCACAGCUUCGCAUGAAGCGGUGUGAAAAACUCCGGUGGUGUGAGGUGGACCCGCGUCUGAUUAGGUAGUUGGUGAGGUAACGGCCCACCAAGCCGACGAUCAGUAGCCGACCUGAGAGGGUGACCGGCCACAUUGGGACUGAGACACGGCCCAGACUCCUACGGGAGGCAGCAGUGGGGAAUAUUGCACAAUGGAGGAAACUCUGAUGCAGCGACGCCGCGUGAGUGAAGAAGUAUUUCGGUAUGUAAAGCUCUAUCAGCAGGGAAGACAGUGACGGUACCUGACUAAGAAGCUCCGGCUAAAUACGUGCCAGCAGCCGCGGUAAUACGUAUGGAGCAAGCGUUAUCCGGAUUUACUGGGUGUAAAGGGAGUGUAGGUGGUAUCACAAGUCAGAAGUGAAAGCCCGGGGCUCAACCCCGGGACUGCUUUUGAAACUGUGGAACUGGAGUGCAGGAGAGGUAAGUGGAAUUCCUAGUGUAGCGGUGAAAUGCGUAGAUAUUAGGAGGAACACCAGUGGCGAAGGCGGCUUACUGGACUGUAACUGACACUGAGGCUCGAAAGCGUGGGGAGCAAA
rnacentral:rRNA from 1 species